CGGGGAGUAGCGCAGCCUGGUAGCGCAUCUGCUUUGGGAGCAGAGGGUCGCUGGUUCAAAUCCAGUCUCCCCGA
rnacentral:tRNA from 1 species